rnacentral:rRNA from 1 species
CACGUAGUUAGCCGUGGCUUCCUCCUCGGCUACCGUCUCGUUUCGUCACCGAAGACAGAGGUUUACAAUCCGAAAACCUUCUUCCCUCACGCGGCGUCGCUGCAUCAGAGUUCCCUCCAUUGUGCAAUAUCCCCCACUGCUGCCUCCCGUAGGAGUCUGGGCCGUGUCUCAGUCCCAAUGUGGCCGUUCAACCUCUCAGUCCGGCUACCGAUCGUCGACUUGGUGGGCCGUUACCCCGCCAACUAUCUAAUCGGACGCGAGCCCAUCCUAUAGCGGAUUGCUCCUUUGGCGCCAAAGGGAUGUCCCCCCAGCGCGUUAUGCGGUAUUAGCGUUCGUUUCCAAACGUUAUCCCCCUCUAUAGGGCAGGUUGCUCACGUGUUACUCACCCGUCCGCCACUAAGUUCAGGGGCAAGCCCCCUUCCUUCGUUCGACUUGCAUGUGUUAGGCGCGCCGCCAGCGUUCGUCCUGAGCCAGGAUCAAACUCU